rnacentral:rRNA from 1 species
AACGAACGCUGGCGGCAGGCUUAACACAUGCAAGUCGAGCGCCCCGCAAGGGGAGCGGCAGACGGGUGAGUAACGCGUGGGAAUCUACCUAGCUCUACGGAAUAACCCAGGGAAACUUGGACUAAUAUCGUAUACGUCCGAGAGGAGAAAGAUUUAUCGGAGUUAGAUGAGCCCGCGUUGGAUUAGCUAGUUGGUGGGGUAAAGGCCUACCAAGGCGACGAUCCAUAGCUGGUCUGAGAGGAUGAUCAGCCACACUGGGACUGAGACACGGCCCAG